rnacentral:rRNA from 1 species
UACGUAGGGGGCAAGCGUUGUCCGGAUUUAUUGGGCGUAAAGAGCGUGUAGGCGGCCAGACAGGUCCGUUGUGAAAACUCGAGGCUCAACCUCGAGAUGUCGAUGGAAACCGUCUGGCUAGAGUCCGGAAGAGGAGUGUGGAAUUCCUGGUGUAGCGGUGAAAUGCGUAGAUAUCUGGAGGAAUACCGGUGGCGAAGGCGGCAUCCUGGACCGGCAUUGACGCUGAGGAGCGAAAGCCAGGGGAGCAAACGGG